rnacentral:rRNA from 1 species
UACGAAGGGGGCUAGCGUUGUUCGGAUUUACUGGGCGUAAAGCGCGCGUAGGCGGGCAUUUAAGUCAGGGGUGAAAUCCCAGGGCUCAACCCUGGAACGGCCUUUGAUACUGGAUGCCUGGAGAUCGGGAGAGGUUGGUGGAAUUCCGAGUGUAGAGGUGAAAUUCGUAGAUAUUCGGAAGAACACCAGUGGCGAAGGCGGCUCACUGGUCCGGUACUGACGCUGAGGUGCGAAAGCGUGGGGAGCAAACAGG